GAUGAACGCUGGCGGCGUGCCUAAUACAUGCAAGUCGAACGCACAGCGAAAGGUGCUUGCACCUUUCAAGUGAGUGGCGAACGGGUGAGUAACACGUGGACAACCUGCCUCAAGGCUGGGGAUAACAUUUGGAAACAGAUGCUAAUACCGAAUAAGACUUAUUGUCGCAUGACAAAGAGUUAAAAGGCGCUACGGCGUCACCUAGAGAUGGAUCCGCGGUGCAUUAGUUAGUUGGUGAGGUAAAGGCUCACCAAGACAAUGAUGCAUAGCCGAGUUGAGAGACUGAUCGGCCACAUUGGGACUGAGACACGGCCCAAACUCCUACGGGAGGCUGCAGUAGGGAAUCUUCCACAAUGGGCGAAAGCCUGAUGGAGCAACGCCGCGUGUGUGAUGAAGGCUUUCGGGUCGUAAAGCACUGUUGUAUGGGAAGAACAGCUAGAAUAGGGAAUGAUUUUAGUGUGACGGUACCAUACCAGAAAGGGACGGCUAAAUACGUGCCAGCAGCCGCGGUAAUACGUAUGUCCCGAGCGUUAUCCGGAUUUAUUGGGCGUAAAGCGAGCGCAGACGGUUGUUUAAGUCUGAUGUGAAAGCCCGGAGCUCAACUCCGGAAAGGCAUUGGAAACUGGACAACUUGAGUGCAGUAGAGGUAAGUGGAACUCCAUGUGUAGCGGUGGAAUGCGUAGAUAUAUGGAAGAACACCAGCGGCGAAGGCGGCUUACUGGACUGUAACUGACGUUGAGGCUCGAAAGUGUGGGUAGCAAACAGGAUUAGAUACCCUGGUAGUCCACACCGUAAACGAUGAACACUAGGUGUUAGGAGGUUUCCGCCUCUUAGUGCCGAAGCUAACGCAUUAAGUGUUCCGCCUGGGGAGUACGACCGCAAGGUUGAAACUCAAAGGAAUUGACGGGGACCCGCACAAGCGGUGGAGCAUGUGGUUUAAUUCGAAGCAACGCGAAGAACCUUACCAGGUCUUGACAUCCUUUGAAGCUUUUAGAGAUAGAAGUGUUCUCUUCGGAGACAAAGAGACAGGUGGUGCAUGGUCGUCGUCAGCUCGUGUCGUGAGAUGUUGGGUUAAGUCCCGCAACGAGCGCAACCCUUAUUGUUAGUUGCCAGCAUUCAGAUGGGCACUCUAGCGAGACUGCCGGUGACAAACCGGAGGAAGGCGGGGACGACGUCAGAUCAUCAUGCCCCUUAUGACCUGGGCUACACACGUGCUACAAUGGCGUAUACAACGAGUUGCCAACCUGCGAAGGUGAGCUAAUCUCUUAAAGUACGUCUCAGUUCGGACUGCAGUCUGCAACUCGACUGCACGAAGUCGGAAUCGCUAGUAAUCGCGGAUCAGCACGCCGCGGUGAAUACGUUCCCGGGUCUUGUACACACCGCCCGUCACACCAUGGGAGUUUGUAAUGCCCAAAGCCGGUGGCCUAACCGUAAGGAGGGAACCGUCUAAGGCAGGACAGAUGACUGGGGUGAAGUCGUAACAAGGUAGCCGUAGGAGAACC
rnacentral:rRNA from 1 species